GGGGUAUAUGUCUUCGGAUAUAGAGACCGGCGCACGGGUGCGUAACGCGUAUGCAAUCUACCUUUACAGAGGGAUAGCCCAGAGAAAUUUGGAUUAAUACCUCAUAGUAUAGCUCUACCGCAUGGUAGUACUAUUAAAGUCACAACGGUAAAAGAUGAGCAUGCGUCCCAUUAGCUAGUUGGUAAGGUAACGGCUUACCAAGGCAACGAUGGGUAGGGGUCCUGAGAGGGAGAUCCCCCACACUGGUACUGAGACACGGACCAGACUCCUACGGGAGGCAGCAGUGAGGAAUAUUGGACAAUGGGCGCAAGCCUGAUCCAGCCAUGCCGCGUGCAGGAUGACGGUCCUAUGGAUUGUAAACUGCUUUUGUACGAGAAGAAACACUGCUUCGUGAAGCAGCUUGACGGUAUCGUAAGAAUAAGGAUCGGCUAACUCCGUGCCAGCAGCCGCGGUAAUACGGAGGAUCCAAGCGUUAUCCGGAAUCAUUGGGUUUAAAGGGUCCGUAGGCGGUUUAGUAAGUCAGCGGUGAAAGCCCAUCGCUCAACGGUGGAACGGCCAUUGAUACUGCUGAACUUGAAUUAUUAGGAAGUAACUAGAAUAUGUAGUGUAGCGGUGAAAUGCUUAGAGAUUACAUGGAAUACCAAUUGCGAAGGCAGG
rnacentral:rRNA from 1 species